UAGGGAAUCUUCCACAAUGGGCGAAAGCCUGAUGGAGCAACGCCGCGUGAGUGAAGAAGGUUUUCGGAUCGUAAAGCUCUGUUGUUGGUGAAGAAGGAUAGAGGUAGUAACUGGCCCCUAUUUGACGGUAAUCAACCAGAAAGUCACGGCUAACUACGUGCCAGCAGCCCGGUAAUAGUGCUGU
rnacentral:rRNA from 1 species